rnacentral:rRNA from 1 species
AUUGAACGCUGGCGGCAUGCCUUACACAUGCAAGUCGAACGGCAGCACGGGAGCAAUCCUGGUGGCGAGUGGCGAACGGGUGAGUAAAGUAUCGGAACGUGCCCAGUCGUGGGGGAUAACGUGGCGAAAGUUACGCUAAUACCGCAUACGAUCUAUGGAUGAAAGCGGGGGAUCGCAAGACCUCGCGCGAUUGGAGCGGCCGAUAUCAGAUUAGGUAGUUGGUGGGGGAAAGGGUCACCAAGCCGACGAACUGUAGCUGGUCUGGGAGGACGACCAGCCAAACUGGGACUGGGACACGGCCCAGACUCCUACGGGAGGCAGCAGUGGGGAAUUUUGGACAAUGGGCGAAAGCCUGAUCCAGCCAUGCCGCGUGCAGGAUGAAGGCCUUCGGGUUGUAAACUGCUUUUGUACGGAACGAAAAGGUUUGGCCUAAUAAGCUGAGCUCAUGACGGUACCGUAAGAAUAAGCACCGGCUAACUACGUGCCAGCAGCCGCGGUAA